AAAUGUUUCACCCCUUCCCGUGGUCCCCUGAUCUAGUGCUGAGGACCCCUCACCAUCAGGAAUUCCUUCUUGCCAUCUAACCUCAAUCUUGCCUACUGCAGUUUCAGCCAACUUCUCUCUCUCCUGAAAUCAGUGGGGGUGGAGAAUGACUGGUUAUCAUCUUCUCUGCACUGGCCCUUUGGAGAUUCAGGGACCCAGUUCUGGCUGCAUCACCCUCUCUGUCCUCCUGGCGCUGAAGAGUGGGCUGGAUCAGACCACCAUCUCCCCUACAGGAGAGAGAGCAGAAAUAGGCAGACAGACUGACAGACAGCUGGCCCCUGGACUCGAGGCAGAAAGGCCCUUCUCACUUCUAAGGAUGCCCAUGAGGAAAUCGGCCCUGAGAGAAGCCUGGUGGUGCCAGCUGAAGCCCCUGAUGGAGAGUUGGCAGGCUUGGGCAGCUGCUUCUAUGUCGAGGUGGUGGCUUCUCUGCAGACCAGCCCAGGGGAGGACUCCAGGGUGGAUGGCCUUCAAGGUUCACCCUUCACUGACGCAGAAGCUCCCAGAACACUCAGGAAACCUCUACGGACAGAGCCCUCUUUGUCAACCCGAGACCCAUCCCAAGGCCUCUACUGCCCUCUGGGUCCAGCAGAGGGGGUGGAGGAGGGGCCACUCCUUCCCACCUAGAGCUUCUUCGAAUGACAAUCAGCUCGUGCCAGGUGGGGACCAGGGCAUGACCCCUGGUGCCCAGGUCCUGGGCCUGUUCCUUGCCACCAACCGAACUGUGAAUGUAGGGCCCCCCAGCCUCACCCCUGCCCCAGGACCAACAACACCCUGGUUUGGUGUUGGGAGGAAAAAGGGGGCGGCCUGAGAGAGCCCCAAACCCAUCCCACACUCUAGCUUCAUCCAGCACUCGAGCUGGGCAGAGACACAAAACCCUGUCUGCCCUUGGGAUUCCGGACCUCCCUAGGGCUCCCAACUGACCUCAGGCCUCUGCGUCAUUGAAUGUCACCGAGGUGGGGGAGGAGAGGAGGGGGCAAGUGUGUGGGGGAGCUAGGGUACUGACUCUGCCCCUCCCCGCCCCAGAAGGGUCUAGGGCAGAGGAAAACACCACCUUCCAGUGCCCCCAUCUCCCACUGCAGUCUCCUCCCCCUUGGGCACCCAUUCCUGCCCACCAAGCCCUCCCAGUCUUGAGCCCCUUCUCUAUAAAAGUGUUACACCACCACCACACCCUCCAGCAUUUCCCCAUUGCCACCGCCUGUGUCACUGGCUCAGAUGCAGGUCUGCUCACCCCAGAACAUGCCUCCCCUCCCCAGCUGCACUGUGCACGAAGAGGGUGCAGGUGAGGAGCUGUGCCCCCAAUAUGUGGGCUGCCCCCUUCCCAGCUUCUCGCAGGGGCCUGGCUUGUGCAGUCUUCUCAGCUGGGGUGGGGUCAGGGGGAAUCCGCCCUGGUGAGCAUGGGGUGAGGGGCAGGGAGUUGCCCUUCCCCUCCCUGGGGAAGCCACUGAAGAAUGUUUACAUGCCAAACAGAAUGUAACACCCUCCCCCACCCCUCCUAG
ensembl:lncRNA